UCACUCAAAGCCCAAUGCCUAUUUGUUUCAACAGAAAAAAAAACUGCUCAUGGAUCUUAACAGCAAGGGAAACAUGCCUAUAGGAUUGUUACCGCCAUACUUCUGAAUGAUUAAAGGAACAGAAAUAGUUUUCCAGUCUAGGAUGAAGAACAGAACCUUUGUCCCACCACCGUGAUUCCAACCUGCAUAUGAUCCAGUCAGUAUGACCAGUGGUAAAGGACUAUGGUUCUGUAGCCUAAAACAUCUGGAGAACCCAAGAUUGUCUACCUUUGCUGUAAGACUUCUGUACUAUAGAUGUACAAGGAGCAAAACAUCUGCAGGAGGUGUGUGGAGAUGUUGGGAGUCUAGAAAUGAUACACUACUCCUGGAAGAUAGCAGCUGUUGGGGAAGGGGCUGCCUGUCAUUCUCUUUUUCUCUUGGAGACCCCAGACAUAAGAAACAAUGGAGUCUCAAGCUGGAAGAAGGAACUGCUCACUUUUUGCUCAGCUGUUCUUCCAUAUGAAAUUGCCUUAUAGCAAGUCAGAACGUUGUGUGUUUAGGAGGCUGAGCAGCUGUCGGGUGAACUAUUUAUUUCUCAUUCAGCUCUUUAUGUGGUUGCCAAAUAAACAAGUGAAGAUGCAGAGGAAAA